GGGGAUUUAGCUCAGUGGUAGAGCGCUUGCCUAGGAAGCGCAAGGUCCUGGGUUCAGUCCCUA
rfam:Rattus norvegicus chromosome 18, whole genome shotgun sequence.